GUGCUCACUUUGGCAGCACAAAUACUAAAAUUGGAAUGAUACAGAGAAGAUUAGCAUGGCCCCCCUAAGCAAGGAUGACACACAAAUUCAUGACGCGUCCCAUAUUUUU
rnacentral:snRNA from 1 species